rnacentral:rRNA from 1 species
UACGUAGGGUGCGAGCGUUGUCCGGAAUUAUCGGGCGUAAAGAGCUUGUAGGCGGUUUGUCGCGUCUGCUGUGAAAAUCCGGGGCUCAACCCCGGACUUGCAGUGGGUACGGGCAGACUAGAGUGUGGUAGGGGAGACUGGAAUUCCUGGUGUAGCGGUGAAAUGCGCAGAUAUCAGGAGGAACACCGAUGGCGAGGGCAGGUCUCUGGGCCACUACUGACGCUGAGAAGCGAAAGCAUGGGGAGCGAACAGG